UUAUUUUAUAGGCAAAAGAAAUGUGUUUGGUUGUUGGAGAAUAGGAAUAACAUUCUUAUUGUUGGUUCUUCUUUUGCAGGUUGUUAGUACUCAGCCGAUCCUUUCCUGUCCUGAGACAAAGGAUACGGUCAAAUAUGUGUCCUCUUGUCCUCUAAACAUGUCAGAUGUUGAUCAAGCCAGUCGCCUUAAGAAUUGUUCAUCAUUUCCUCAGAAUUGCACAUCUUCAGACUUAUUUAUAUAUCACUGCUUACCCAAUCAUUUCCUAGAUAAAUUUGUUGAAGUGUGUGGUGUAGCUGUCGACAUUAUAUACGGACACUGUGCAGAAUACAACGAAGGAGGAGGUGUUAUACAGGAAAAUUAUCAAACCGAUUGUACAAAAUUUUCAAAACCUUGUCCGAUUGAAAGUUACUCAUCAGUUGAUACAUAUAAAU